GGCUACACACGUCUCAAUGGCUUAAACAGCAUUAUCUGUCAAGACUUUGACGAUUUAUGAGGUAUCCUUAACACAGACUUAAAGUGAAACAAUUCACAGCGAAGAAAAGUUUUACUCAGAGAACAGAAUUCUUCAGAGUGCAGCGUAAGGUCAUAAAGUUAGCUGACAGUUAGAAUAACCCUUUCAAUGCUGGCUAGAUCUCCUAGGUAAUUAAGAUCUAUUCUUAUGUAAUUUCAGAUAAAAUAACAUUUAAACCAGUUCAUUAGUCAUUUCCUGGAACCAUCCAAUAAGAGAAUCUACCAUAUUAUAUGAGC